UACGUAGGGUGCGAGCGUUGUCCGGAAUUACUGGGCGUAAAGAGCUCGUAGGUGGUUUGUCGUGUUGUUCGUGAAAACUCACAGCUCAACUGUGGGCGUGCGGGCGAUACGGGCAGACUGGAGUACUGCAGGGGAGACUGGAAUUCCUGGUGUAGCGGUGGAAUGCGCAGAUAUCAGGAGGAACACCGGUGGCGAAGGCGGGUCUCUGGGCAGUAACUGACGCUGAGGAGCGAAAGCGUGGGGAGCGAACAGG
rnacentral:rRNA from 1 species